rnacentral:rRNA from 1 species
CACGUAGGGGGCAAGCGUUGUCCGGAUUUAUUGGGCGUAAAGAGCUCGUAGGCGGUUCGGUAAGUCGGGUGUGAAACCUCCAGGCUCAACCUGGAGACGCCACCCGAUACUGCUGUGACUCGAGUCCGGUAGGGGAGCGUGGAAUUCCUGGUGUAGCGGUGAAAUGCGCAGAUAUCAGGAGGAACACCAGCGGCGAAGGCGGCGCUCUGGACCGAGACUGACGCUGAGGCGCGAAAGCGUGGGGAGCAAACAGG